GACGAACGCUGGCGGCGUGCUUAACACAUGCAAGUCGAGCGGUAAGGUCCCGUUUCGGGGGUGCACGAGCGGCGAACGGGUGAGUAACACGUGGGUGACCCUGCCCUCAGCUCUGGGAUAAGCCCGUGGGAAACCGGGUCUAAUACUGGAUAUGACUCCAUGACGCAUGUUGUGGGGUGGAAAGCCUUGUGCGGCUGAGGAUGGG
rnacentral:rRNA from 1 species